AUUGAACGCUGGCGGCGUGCUUAACACAUGCAAGUCGAACGAAGUGGCGAACGGGUGAGUAACGCGUAAACAACCUGCCCUUCAGAGGGGGACAACAGUUGGAAACGACUGCUAAUACCGGCUACUGAAGGCGGGGAUGACUGCUGAUUAGCUAGUUGGUGGGGUAACGGCCCACCAAGGCGAUGAGGAGUAGCCGGUCUUGGAGGGUGAACGGCCACAUUGGGACUGAGACACGGCCCCGACUCCUUCGGGAGGCAGGAGUGGGGAAUCUUCCGGAAUGGACGAAAGUCUGACGGAGCAACGCCGCGUGAGUGAUGACGGCCUUCGGGUUGUAAAGCUCUGUUAAUCGGGACACGGUACCGGAAUAGAAAGCCACGGCUAACUACGUGCCAGCCGCCGCGGUAAUUC
rnacentral:rRNA from 1 species